rnacentral:rRNA from 1 species
GACGAACGCUGGCGGCGUGCCUAAUACAUGCAAGUAGCACGCAGUUGCGAACGGGUGAGUCACACGUAGGUAACUGCCUUAUCCCGGGGGAUAACUAUUUGAAACGAUAGCUAAUACCGCAUAAUGUGAGAUGGACCUGCGUGUUAUUAGCUAGUUGUGGAGGUAAAGGCUCAACAAGGCGACGAUACAUAACCCACCGGUGCGGGGCAUGGGCCACACUGGGGUGUGGACACGGCCCAGACUCCUACGGGAGGCAGCAGGUGGGGAUCUUCGGCAAUGGACAGAAGGCUGACCGAGCAACGCCGCGGGAGGGAAGAAGGUUUUCGGAUCGGAAAGCUCUUUUGUUAGAGAAGCGGUAACUAACCAGAAAGGGACGGCUAACUACGUGCCAGCAGCCGCGGUAAUUC